rnacentral:rRNA from 1 species
GACGAACGCUGGCGGCAGGCCUAACACAUGCAAGUCGAGCGAGCGGCGGACGGGUGAGUAAUGUAUGGGGACUGCCCGAUAGAGGGGGAUAACUACUGGAAACGGUGGCUAAUACCGCAUACUGUCGGAUAACCCAUAUGGGAUUAGUUAGUAGGUAAGGUAAUGGGUUACCUAGGCGACGAUCCCUAGCUGGUCUGAGAGGAUGAUCAGCCACACUGGGACUGAGACACGGCCCAGACUCCUACGGAGGCCGCAGUGGGGAAAAUUACAAAAUGGGCGCAAGCCGGAUGCAGCCCUGCCGCGUGUAUGAAGAAGGCCCGAGGGUUGUAAAGUACUUUUAGUGGGGAAGCGGUACCUGAAGAAUAAGCACCGGCUAACUACGUGCCAGCCGCCGCGGUAAUAC